GAUAACCACAGGCAAAGAAAAGUCUGGGCUUGGCAAGGGUGUGAUGAUGUAACCUGGAGAGAGAUGUGGGGAAAGAGGUGAUGGCUGGGGAAAUGGCCUCAUGUCUGAGUCUCUAGGACAGUGAAGAAAGUGCUCCUUGUUCUUGCUGUCUUUAGUGUAGGGUAGAGCUGGGCACUCAAAGACCUCUGCCUGAACUGCAGAGCCCAGAGAAUUACCACCUGUUGUUUCUCCUGUUGGCAUUUUCUGGCUUGUCUAGCAAGGACACCUACUCAUUGGCUUGAGUUUAACUCAAAGAAGAGAAGUAAACAUCCCAGACACAGCCUAGAUGGGAUACAGAUGUGAGAAAAAUACAUUAUGACUUCAGAAUUUUCAGGGCAUCAUUAGUUGCUUAGGUUAAGGGGGAAUGGAAAAAAGAGAGAGAGAGAGAAAGAAAGAGAGAAAUUAGGCAACUUGAUUAUCAAUUUUCUUUCCCUAAGAAUCCUGACUGAAAUUCAAUCACAAACUUCCCAGCAAGUUCCAGCCUAUUUCAUCCUAUGGAGUGCAUUCUAUAGGAGAUCUGGACAGUGGUUUCUCGGAAGAAGCAAAACCUUGAAGAUGAAACUCAAGUUUACCACCACAACUUGGGCACCGUGAGGCCUCCCAUCUGCCAUCACUUCCUUCAGCUGCAUGUCACCAAUGGAGUGGCCAGAGAAAGGUUCUCUGAAGAAGUGAUACUAGAGCUGAAACCCCAGUGAUGAGAAGUCAGCCAUGUGAAAAUUGGAAGAGCAUUCUGUGCAGAGCAAUGUGUGCAAAGACCCUGGGGCAGGAAUAAGCUAUAAGCUGGAGCACAUGAAUAUGGAAGGAAAUGGUUCCUGGUAAUCAUCAGAAAGGCGGGAAGGGAAUCAGAUCACACAGCAUUGUCGGGCACAGGUAUUCCUACUGCAGUGAAAUCCACUGCAGGUUUUAUGCAAAGGCGUGAUAGGAGUAUGACCUGAUUUAUGUUUUAAAAAUACAACUUUAAUUGCUGUGUAGGUGGCUAAGAGAAGUGGGGGGCAUCAGUUAAGAGGCUAUUACAAUAACCUAAGUAAGUGAUAAUGAUAGCUUAGACCUAGUAGUGAUGUAGGUGGAGAAAAGUAGAUCAAUACUGAAAAUAUUUUGGGGACAGCCAACAAGAUUGGCUGAUGUGUGACAGGGUUUGGGGGCAGGGAUGACUCCCUGGGCUUGAGGUUCUGAGAUGGGGGGAAAGUUUGGGGAGCUGGAAAUCAAUAAUUCCAUUUUGGGUGAGUUGCAUUCUUAUUAGAUACCCAAGUAGAGCUAUCCAGUUGGCAGAUGAAUACCAAAGUUUGGAAAAAUGUCUAUUCAGAUUAUUUGCUCAUUUUCAUUAAUUCAUUCAUCAUUCCAUAAAAACAUUUUAAGAUCCUACCCUGUGCCAGAAUGUACUGUGCUAAGAACCAUGUAUACAAAGGCCAAUAAAACUGUGCCCCUCCCUUCAUGAA